GGUGUUACAUCGUGUAGAGUAGUAGUUUUUUUUUUUUUGGCCAGGCUGCAGGGAACUAAUUAAAAAAAAAAAGAAGAAAAACAAAAGCACGAGAUAUUCUGACAAUAAAGACGACUAAAAUAAUACAUACGACAAUCAAGCGCGACUGAAAGAAGAAAGGUAAAAAAAAAAAUUAAAAAAAAUUACCAAAAAGUUGUGGAAACCGUUUCAUUACACCACCCCUCCUCCUCCUCCUCCUCCUCCUCCUCUUCCUCACCCCUGGCAACAGCAGACAAAGCGGGCUGGUUUUAGUGGUCUCCGCCGGACCGGUCAGCCUUUGAUCUGGGCCUGUUAAGAAGAAGUGAAUCGUGGAGAGGGGGGUCCACCGAGGAAAGGAGCAGUGGAGGAAGCCSAUAGGAGAAACCGAGCGUCCAGCUGUCCGCCCGAGGGGCCGCGCAUGAUCGACCCUCCUGUCAGCUUCUCUGAGGUCUGGGCCUGAGCUGACAUCGCUUCAACAGCAACAGCAGCUCCGCAGCCAACGCAAACAGCAUUAUUGGACGUUAAUUAGCACAAGUGAGACGUGCUCCUCCCUCUCUCAGCUCCGUUAUAUUACAACUGAACAAAUAAAUCCUCUCCUCUCAAACUGCGGCGUUUCUUAUGGCUUCGGAAUAAAAAUCUGCCGCUGCAAUUAGCCCGUCAUACAUCGCCAUUAGAAGUCUAUUAAAACAUCCAAGUCAUUAUUUGAGCAUCCCCGGGCAGGAGGGAGGCGGGGGGAAUUAGARGAAAACUAUCUGAGCCGCACGGGUCCCAUUUGGAUUAAUGGGGAAAUAUGUAAAACAUUUCCGUUUUAAUUUUCCUCUCRCGGUGUUUUGCAUAUACGAGCCUUUUUUUUUCUCUCUCUCUCUCUCUCUCUUUCCCUCCGCUGAAGCGCUCAUUAUUUAUGAAAGCAAUCUCGACCGGCACAUUACCGGGCUAUGAAACGCAGCUCGCUGCCUAAUUGAUUCCCCGUCACAUUUUUUUUUUUUUAUAAUUUUUUUUUUCCUGUGAGCUUCUAAUCGUGUUAAUUGUAAUUUAAUCUCUCAGGGAAUAACCGGAGACAUGUAUUUAAAUAAGACUGCCGAGCGAAGACGUGAAUUUGUAUUACUGUUAAUAAUAUUAUCAUCAUCAUCAUCAUCAUCGCGUUGUCAUAUAAUAGAAAUGUCACGCAGAAUUAACGCAGAAGAGUCAGACUGGGAUAAAUUCCUGUAAUCUACAGAGAUGUCAGGGUGAAAAAUAGUAUGAGAAGAGGUUUCUACUGCAUUUCUUUAAAAAAAA